rnacentral:rRNA from 1 species
CCUACGGGGGGCUGCAGUGGGGAAUAUUACACAAUGGGCGCAAGCCUGAUCCAGCCAUGCCGCGUGUAUGAAGAAGGCCUUAGGGUUGUAAAGUACUUUCAGCGGGGAGGAUGGUGUUGAGGUCAAUAGAAUCAGCCCUUGCCGUUUCCCGCCCAAGAAGCACCGUCUAACGGCGUGCCCGAGCCCUCGUCGGAAUGACUGGGCGUAAAGCGCACGCAGGCGGACUGGCAAGUCAGGGGUGAAAUCCCCGGGCUCAACCUGGGAACUGCAUUCGAAACUGGCAGGCUAGAGUCUGGUAGAGGGGAGUAGAAUUUCAGGUGUAGCGGUGAAAUGCGUAGAGAUCUGGAGGAAUACCGGUGGCGAAGGCGGCCCCCUGGACAAAGACUGACGCUCAGGUGCGAAAGCGUGGGGAGCAAACAGGAUUAGAUACCCUAGUAGUC